rnacentral:rRNA from 1 species
AGAGACAGCAGUAGCCGCGGGAAUACGUAGGUCCCGAGCGUUAUCCGGAUUUAUUGGGCGUAAAGCGAGCGCAGGCGGUUAGAUAAGUCUGAAGUUAAAGGCUGUGGCUUAACCAUAGUACGCUUUGGAAACUGUUUAACUUGAGUGCAGAAGGGGAGAGUGGAAUUCCAUGUGUAGCGGUGAAAUGCGUAGAUAUAUGGAGGAACGCCGGUGGCGAAAGCGGCUCUCUGGUCUGUCACUGACGCUGAGGCUCGAAAGCGUGGGUAACAAACAGGAUUAGAUACCCCUGUAGUCCCUGUCUCUUAUACA